AUAUCUCCAAUUUCAAAAGAGAGGCUUUUGGGUUGGUGAACAAAAUUAAUGUUUCUUUCUCCUAUGCAGUUUCGAGCAGGUCUCUUUUGCUUCACAAAUGAGAAAUAGCUGUAACAUUUCAAUUAGUUCUUGUGGGUGAUGUUUUCAGCAUGUUUUUACAUACGAGUUUCUGGUCACAUAAACCUGGUGGAAUAAUUGUCUUUCCUCAAUGAAGCUUGGUGAGACAGGGGAAGAAUGGUGUGGAGGAAGUUUCGGAAUUGGGUCCUCUCUGAGACUUGGCUUUGCAGCUCCUAAAGUGACCAUACUUAUAGCUAAUUAGCUCACUUGCAUCAUUUGAUGUUUGUAGGAGAAAGAUAUUGAGGGGUUGAGCUUACUGACCAUACUUGGCUUGAGUGAAUCAUACAUGAUGAGGUACUUUGUGCUAAUGAAUUAGUGUUCUUUUCCCAAUUAUCCUGUUGGAAUCAUUUGUAUUGAUUGGCAUGAUUGCCUUUAUUUUGGAUAGUCUUGUAUGCUGACAGAAAUUCUUUUUAUUGGUCAUUUGCAAUUCAAGUGCA